UACAGAGGGGGCAAGCGUUAUUCGGAAUUAUUGGGCGUAAAGGGCGCGUAGGCGGCUUUGCAAGUGGCGGGUGAAAUCCCUCGGCUUAACCGAGGAACUGCCUGCCAGACUGUGAGGCUUGAGACCGGGAGAGGUGAGUGGAAUUCCCAGUGUAGCGGUGAAAUGCGUAGAUAUUGGGAGGAACACCAGUGGCGAAGGCGGUCCCCUGGGCCGGAACUGACGCUGAGGCGCGAAAGCGUGGGUAGCAAACGGG
rnacentral:rRNA from 1 species